UUCAAACAGUUGAAAAAUAUAUUGCUUCGCCUCAUCCUCGCUGAUGAUAUCAAAGAAGAACGUGCACUGGUGUCAAUGAAGGUAAGGAGAAGCAGUCGGCGGCAAGACGUAUUCAAAUCAAAUAUGAACAUGGGUUUGCUGCUCUAAACAGGUGAAAUACUCCAAAUAGAAACUAUUAUACAUGAGAUAUCAUUUUAUGUGAAAUGCUCAUGGUACGUGUUUCACUGCUUGGUUUAUACUUUUUGCUAAACACCAGACCAGGCCGUGUUUAGGUCAAACCAAACUGUAGGCAGAGCGUUAAAACAUGGACCUCGCAGAAGAGUUGGGGCAGUUGGACCUGCUGACCACCGAUGGACCAUUCACCAUGAAGGAGAUAACACAGAUCAUCUCUGACCUAAAGAAGGACAACUUCAACCUCAGACUCCGCAUCUUCUUCUACGAGGAGCGGCUGCAGCAGAGGUGUGAUGACUCUGCUGAGGAAAUGUACAAAACAGUGAGCGAUCAGAGACGGAUCUCAACAAAGCCAUGAACAUCACAGUCAUGUAACUACUUUGAAGGAAUACUGUACAGGUAGGCCUACUGCAUAACUACAUGUGUUUUUGUCUCAACACAGAACAUUGACCUGAAGGUAGAGGUUGAAACACUGAAAGAGGAAUUGAAGGAGCUGCAGAGGGUCUCUGCCCUUGCACUGUAAGUUUAGACAAGAACCUUUCAUUUUGACUGACUAGAAAUCAUAUUUGUUGGUAUUGUAUCUAAUCUGCCUGUGUUUUCUACGAUCUAGUCAAGAUUACCCAGAGCAGAUGGAUCAGCUCCGAGAGUACUGCAACACCAAGAUCCAGCAGCUAGAGAAGGAUCUGGAUUCAUCCAGAGUGGAGGUGGGGAAGCUGACAACCAUGCUGGAGCAGGAGAGGACACAUUGCCUGGAGCUGGAGAAGGAGCUUCGGGGGGAGGGUCACUCCCAAUCUGACGUACCCACACAGACUGACCAUUCCCAGUCGGACACCCCCACCCAACCUGAACACUCCCAGUCCGAUGCACACACACAGACUGACCCCCUAUCCAAGGAACAGGAACCAGACCAGAACCCAGAGAAGUUCCAGGACCUACUCAAUCUGCUGGAGGAGAGAGACUGGCUGAUAGAGCAGCUGCAGGCAUCUGUGAAGUCCCAGGAGGCUCUAAUAGACCAGCUGAGAUACAGUGGUGCUGGCCAGGGUAGCGGAGACCAGCCAUCAGCUGACCCUGACCGCCAGCUGUCAUCUCUCAUUGCUCAGAGAGAGAUGGACCUGCAGGUCAGUGUGUGUGUGUGUGUGUGUGUGUGUGUGUGUGUGUGUGUGUGUGUGUGUGUGUGUGUGUGUGUGUGUGUGUGUGUGUGUGUGUGUGUGUGUGUGUGUGUGUGUGUGUGUGUGUGUGUGUGUCUGCAUGUGUUUGUGUGUGUCUGCA
rnacentral:lncRNA from 1 species